CAAAUAAAUCUCUAGAACAUUUAUUUACAAGCCAAGCAAUACAGAAUUUUUUUUUGAUAUUCGGUGUUUAAAAUAAGGUUUUCAUAGCUACAUACAAUGUGCAUUUAGUAAUUAUUGAUUGUUCGUUUACAUGAACGCCAGUUCAAAAUCAAACCUACGUCAGCAUUUCUAUUUUCAAAUUAAAUUGUAUCUAAACGUUAUUUAUGGACGCCCCCUGCUGUCUUCGCACUCGCAAACGUCAACAAUUCAAUCGUAGCAGGCAGUUGUUUUUUUCGUCGUCGCGGCCGGCUGUGUGUUUACAAGUGAUAACACCGUUUUGUUUUCGUUCGCGGGAGUUUGUUUGUGUUUAUUUGUAUGUGAGAACAAUCGUGACCAAAUUGGCCACCGAAGAAGCGAGGACAAAAUCUGUCUAUUGUUUUGAGUGGCCUCCGGAAGCAAAACAAGUUAGCAGCAGCUGUUUUUUCCUCCUUUCUGUGGGUGACGGCCUAACAACCUCCGGAAGGCGUUUUUUCGGUAGUCCAACUCCCGGAUGUGCAACCUGCGCUUGAAUUAGCUGUCAAAAGGUAAAAGUAAAAGACGCUUACACAAAAAAUGUUUUUCAAAACGGCUGAGUCGAUUCAAGCUGCUUUUCUGUCAGCUGAAAAAAUAGUCUUGCCAACCCUACCUUCCCGAAGAAAGGAGCGGAGGAGGAAGUUGAUUCGCCGAAGUCGGAACGUGAGCUGCAAAACCGGCGGAGAUUGUGUCGUUCCCAUAGGCUAGGUUGGUGAGUUGAUUGGUGAACUCGAUUCCGUGCA